rnacentral:rRNA from 1 species
GACAGAGGGUGCAAACGUUGUUCGGAAUUACUGGGCGUAAAGCGUGUGUAGGCGGUGAGGUAAGUCGGAUGUGAAAGCCCAGGGCUCAACCCUGGAAGUGCACUCGAUACUGCUUCGCUUGAGUACUGGAGAGGUUGGUGGAAUUCUCGGUGUAGAGGUGAAAAUUCGUAGAUAUCGAGAGGAACAUCUGUGGCGAAGGCGGCCAACUGGACGAGAUACUGACGCUGAGACACGAAAGCGUGGGGAGCAAACAGG